rnacentral:ncRNA from 1 species
CUAACAAAAUUUAAUAAGGGUUCAGGGAAUUUAGUUAAAUUCUAAAACUGUCCUCGCAACUGUGUUGGUGAGCGUUUUUUAUUAAUACCACUUAGUAUUUAUACUUGGGAAGGUUAAAAAAUGCAAUGAUCCUAAGUCAGGAGACCUACCCUAUUAUUAUUUUUUAAC